UGUCUGAAGUUGAGAUGGCCGAGGGGUUAAGGCGUUGCAGUUGAAGUCUGACGGGGUUUCCCCGUGCAGGUUUGAACCCUUCUCAGAGUAA